CGCGUAGGGUGCGAGCGUUGUCCGGAAUUAUUGGGCGUAAAGAGCUCGUAGGCGGUGUGUCGCGUCGGCCGUGAAAACUUGGGGCUUAACUCUGAGCGUGCGGUCGAUACGGGCAUCACUUGAGUUCGGCAGGGGAGACUGGAAUUCCUGGUGUAGCGGUGAAAUGCGCAGAUAUCAGGAGGAACACCGGUGGCGAAGGCGGGUCUCUGGGCCGAUACUGACGCUGAGGAGCGAAAGCGUGGGGAGCGAACAGG
rnacentral:rRNA from 1 species